rnacentral:rRNA from 1 species
UACGAAGGGGGGCUAGCGUUGCUCGGAAUGACUGGGCGUAAAGGGCGCGUAGGCGGAUGGCACAGUCAGAUGUGAAAUUCCCGGGCUUAACCUGGGGGCUGCAUUUGAUACGUGUGAUCUAGAGUGAGGAAGAGGGUCGUGGAAUUCCCAGUGUAGAGGUGAAAUUCGUAGAUAUUGGGAAGAACACCGGUGGCGAAGGCGGCGACCUGGUCCUUGACUGACGCUGAGGCGACGAAGACGUGGGGAGCAAACAGG